UAGUGAAUCUUCCGCAAAUGGCGAAAGCCUGACGGAGCAACGCCGCGUGAGUUAUGAAGGUUUUCGGAUUUUAAAACUCUGUUAUUAGUUAAGAACAAAUGUGUAAGUAACUAUGCACGUCUUGACGUUACCUAAUCAGAAAGCCACGGCUAACUACGUGCCAGCAGCCUCGGUAAUACGUAGGUGGCAAUCGUUAUCCGGAAUUAUUGGGCGUAAAGCGCGCGUAGGCGGUUUUUUAAGUCUGAUGUGAAAGCCCACGGCUCAACCGUGGAGGGUCAUUGGAAACUGGAAAACUUGAGUGCAGAAGAGGAAAGUGGAAGUCAAUGUGUAGCGGUGAAAUGCGCGGAGAUAUGGAGGAGAACCAGUGGCGAAGGCGAAUUUCUGGUCUGUAACUGACGCUGAUGUGCGAAAGCGUGGGGAUCAAACAGG
rnacentral:rRNA from 1 species